rnacentral:rRNA from 1 species
AGAGAGAGACAUGCGCGCAUAUCAAUAAGCGGAGGAAAAGAAACUAACAAGGAUUCCCCUAGUAACGGCGAGUGAAGCGGGAAGAGCUCAAAUUUGAAAUCUUAAAGGGUUUCCCUUUACGAAUUGUAGUUUAAAGAAGUGUUUUCUGUUGAGGUUUUGGUAAGAGUUCUUUGGAAUAGGACAUCAUAGAGGGUGAGAAUCCCGUAUUUGACCUUUACUUUCAACUUUGUGAUACACUUUCAAAGAGUCGGAUUGUUUGGGAAUGCAGUCCAAAAUGGGUGGUAAAUUUCAUCUAAAGCUAAAUAUUGGCGAGAGACCGAUAGCGAACAAGUACCGUGAGGGAAAGAUGAAAAGAACUUUGAAAAGAGAGUUAAACAGUACGUGAAAUUGUCAAAAGGGAAGCGUUUGACACCAGUGUUGUUUUUCUGAAAAUCAAUUAAAGAACUGUUUAUGCUAAGCUGUUUAGACUUUAUCAGCUAUACUGUUUAGUUUUGAGCUUUUCUUUAAUGCACUUUUCAGUUAACAAGUCAACAUCAAUUUCUUUUGCUGUAAAAAAGCUUGAGGAAGGUGGCUUGAGAUUCGUCUUAAGUGUUUAUAGCCUCUUGCCUAUGCAGUCGGAGAGAUUGAGGUCUGCAGCGUAGAUCCUUCGGGGCUAAAUGCAUUUGUGCUAAGUUAUAGCAUUUUAUAGACAACUUGUUGACUAUGAUUUGUCUUGUAGCUUACUCGCUUAUGUUAUUUUACCUACGCUUAGGAUGUUGACGCAUGAGAUAUACGC